CUCUGCCUUUUUUUUUUUUUUGGUGUUACCGAACUGCUUUUGCUGUCUUCUUCUCCUGGACUGUGGGGUCUGCUCACAGUUAAUUGAGGGCGCUCUGUGGGAUCCCAGAGGUUGCCAGCGAAGUGAAUGAGGAAUGGGAGAACCAAACAUGCAGGUUCCCUUUUGCUUUAGCAAACAGAUUGGCUGCCGUUGGUUCUGAUAAGAUUGUUUUUCCUUCCCGGCCUUUGAGUUCUUGAGGUGCCCGGGGAUUCAGUCCAUGUGUAGUGAAUUGUGAGUGAUUCCGGCCUAUCCCUGCCCCUGCUGCACCUGGAUACGCUGUGGCUUUGCUUCUUUUCCAGCUGCCCAACUUACUCUUGGGUAGUUUGAUGUCUCAGCCAUUAAGCCAAGACAUGAAUGGACAGUGAGGUGUUUGCUUCAUUCACAGGCCAGGGGGUGCCGCUCUCUCUCCCCACUAAGGACCCAUGGAGGUUGUGAUGAAACAGGCCAAGGCACACCUAGACAGAAGGCUCAUUGACAUUCACAACUGGUAAUUUCUGCUGCUACCAUUCAAAAAAUCAAGGGGUUUCUCCUCCAAAGACUACCCCACUACA
rnacentral:lncRNA from 1 species